AUGGGCAGUCAUGGUUGUUCCCGACUCCGCAAGAAGAUGAUCGAGGGUUGGCGGCACGGCUGCUUCGUUGUCAUCUUCAUCGAGCACCGUCCGACACGAUUUUCCGCUGGCAUGUACAUUGGAAUGUCACUGCUUUUAUCAUGGCAUCCAACACUUGCAGAUGUGACUCAAAAGGGGAUUCUGAAGGUAAUGAACUUGGAUGGCCUGAUAGUGUACCAUACCAACAACCAUCUCCCAGGACACGAACUUGAAAAGUUUCUAAGAUUGAUACACACCUUCAGAAUCAGAUACCUGCUUUGUUCUCUAGAAUUCCUAUGGAUUUUAAGAGGAUGA
rnacentral:rRNA from 1 species